AGAGUUUGAUCAUGGCUCAGAAUCAACGCUGGCGGCGUGCCUAACACAUGCAAGUCGAACGCGAAAGUGGAGCAAUCCAUGAGUAGAGUGGCAAACGGGUGAGUAACGCGUGGGUGACCUGCCUUCGAGUGGGGGAUAACGUUUCGAAAGGAACGCUAAUACCGCAUAACAUCCUGCUUUUUAAGAGGUGGAGAGCAAAGCCGGGGAUCGCAAGACCUGGCGCUUGAAGAGGGGCCCGCGUCUGAUUAGCUAGUUGGUGGGGUAAUGGCUCACCAAGGCAACGAUCAGUAUCCGGCCUGAGAGGGCGGACGGACACACUGGGACUGAGACACGGCCCAGACUCCUACGGGAGGCAGCAGUGGGGAAUUGUUCGCAAUGGGCGCAAGCCUGACGACGCAACGCCGCGUGGAGGAUGAAGACCUUCGGGUCGUAAACUCCUUUCGAUCGAGACGAAUGGGUUUCGGGCUAACAUCCCGGAAUAUUGACGGUACCGAGAGAAGAAGCCCCGGCUAACUCCGUGCCAGCAGCCGCGGUAAUACGGGGGGGGCAAGCGUUGUUCGGAAUUACUGGGCGUAAAGGGCUCGUAGGUGGCCAACUAAGUCAUACGUGAAAUCCCUCAGCUUAACUGGGGAACUGCGUCUGAUACUGGAUGGCUUGAGUUUGGGAGAGGGAUGCGGAAUUCCAGGUGUAGCGGUGAAAU
rnacentral:rRNA from 1 species